CUUCUGAGAAGGGUUCGA
rnacentral:snRNA from 1 species